rnacentral:rRNA from 1 species
UACGGGAGGCAGCAGUAGGGAAUCUUCCGCAAUGGGCGAAAGCCUGACGGAGCAACGCCGCGUGAGUGAUGAAGGUCUUCGGAUCGUAAAACUCUGUUAUUAGGGAAGAACAAACGUGUAAGUAACUGUGCACGUCUUGACGGUACCUAAUCAGAAAGCCACGGCUAACUACGUGCCAGCAGCCGCGGUAAUACGUAGGUGGCAAGCGUUAUCCGGAAUUAUUGGGCGUAAAGCGCGCGUAGGCGGUUUUUUAAGUCUGAUGUGAAAGCCCACGGCUCAACCGUGGAGGGUCAUUGGAAACUGGAAAACUUGAGUGCAGAAGAGGAAAGUGGAAUUCCAUGUGUAGCGGUGAAAUGCGCAGAGAUAUGGAGGAACACCAGUGGCGAAGGCGACUUUCUGGUCUGUAACUGACGCUGAUGUGCGAAAGCGUGGGG